CCGGAGUAGGUUCAUAAAAAAUUCAAAAAAAAUCGAAAAAAAUUCAAAAAAAUCGAAAAAAAGGAGACAUAUUUCUUGAAUUCAAGUAUUUCCAUUGUAAUUAGUAUUUUGUAAUUGACAAAAAAAUGAAAUUUAAAAAAAAAAAGAGAAGUAUUGAAAGCUUUGUGAUUGUAUUCUUGUUUCCUAUCCAGCAAGUUUGACUUCUCUAUCGUUUCC
rnacentral:lncRNA from 1 species